rnacentral:rRNA from 1 species
UACAGAGGUCUCAACCGUUGUUCGGAUUCAUUGGGCGUAAAGGGUGCGUAGGCGGUCGCGCAAGUCGGAUGUGAAAUCUCAGGGCUCAACCCUGAAACUGCAUUCGAUACUGCGUGGCUAGAGUGCUGGAGAGGAGACUGGAAUUUACGGUGUAGCAGUGAAAUGCGUUGAGAUCGGGCAGAACACCAGUGGCGAAGGCGGCCAGCUGGGCCGACCCUGACGCUGAGGCGCGAAAGCCAGGGGAGCGAACGGG